GGGGGUGCUCCGGUUUCGACUGGUGCGAUUCGGGUCGCGGGCUGCAGGUGGAGCGCCGUCCUCCUAACAUACGGCAAAACUUUUAACUGCCAACAACGACAGUUACGCUCUCGCCGCGUAAGCGGUAGAACGCGGAAAUCGGCUGCGCCGCCUCGAGCGGUCGCGUUUCCGUCGCAAUCGAGGCUGGUCGACCUCCGGGCCCGAACGGGGGAAGACGAGAACAACCGGGAUACGGGGUCGCCGCGCGCCGAGCAGCCAAGCGAUCCCCGACAAAACGAUGCCCGGCUAAACCUGUAGACGUCCACGGUUCGCGCAUCAGGACGCGGGUUCGACUCCCGCCACCUCCAA
rfam:Treponema sp. GWC1_61_84 gwc1_scaffold_21, whole genome shotgun sequence.